UACCCAACAAUAGGAAGAAUGGCCGAAAAAGAAUCUACAUCAUCACACGUUCUGGUCCCUAUUCUUCUCUUGAUUGGCUGGAUUGUGGGCUGUAUCAUAAUGGUUUACGUUGUCUUCUCUUAGAAAGGCAAGAAGACUUCAGAUUGACAUCAUUUAGAAGGACGAAGAAAAAAAUGAACAUGACAGAUUAUUAAAUGUGUCUCAUGUAGAUAUCUGCAUUGUUUGACAUCACUUUAUAAACUUGGAUUUGUAAACUGACACUUUGGUUACAUGAGAAUCUCUUCAGGAACUUGUUUAAAAUUUGGAGAACAAAUAAGAACUAACUAUAAGAAAGCAUGGGUGGAUUUUUCUGUAAACUGGGACUAGGAGCAAUGUUCCUAUGACUAAAAAUACAUAAGCAAUAGGAAAAAGUUUGGUAGACUAAAUUACAAUUGAAUUAUUUUUGCCCCCCCCCAAAUAGAAAAACAUGAGCUAGAGAUAAAAAGGAAUAGUUUACAGAAAACAAAAUACAAAUGUAAACCUGGACCUUAAGCUCUUGUUCAUAGUAAAAGAACUGUAAUUAAAACUGUACUGAAGAACCAUUGCUCACCUAUCAGAUGGGAAAAAAUAAAGACAUUUGACAAUA